UCCGUGAAUGUUUUCUUCUUCGCAGUUCCCUCUUAUUUUCAUGUUCGAGUCUCUUUUCCUAGACUUUAUGCAUGAAUACAAUCAGGAGUAGAAACUCGAUGGUCCUAUAAAUCAGACCUGGGGAGCGGAGAAUGAGAGCAGAGGCUCGUGGAGUGUUGACCAGCAAGGGUGUUCACAAACGCAGCAGCUCGGGAUCGUGAAUUGGGACUUUUCUCUUCUUACCGCCUCAGACGCUGCGAUGUGAGGAGGGGCCGAUGGAACACGGAAUGGGACAGGCUCACCAGGGCUCAGGGGCUGCUGUUCUCCUGGCACUGCAGAGUUUGUCGGAGCUGCCAGGGGUGCAGGAGCUUCCCUCCAGCUGUGGCUUGCAAACUGCUGCACGGGAAGGCUUUGGCUCAGCAGUCCAGAUCUGCAGUGAGCGGGAGGGAUGCUGAACAACAGAGUCCAGUGCAGUGGAGUGCAGAACAUCAGCACACUGCCGUUCCUCCCGGGCUGGAUGGGUGUUUUGGGAUGUCUAUCCUGCCUCCUCCCAGCACUCCACACAGAGUUUAAGGUGAAACCUCUUGGCUGCAUUUGAAGCAGCUUCACAAAACGCUCCAAGCUCUCCCCACAGCUUUGGGGCUGUGCUGGUGCCUCCAGCGUUUCUGUGGCUGAUGGAAUCAGGAGGGAUUUGUGUCUCCAGGUGAGGCUCCUGCUCUGCAUGCACACAGGCUCUGCACCCACACAUAAUUAAUGUCACUGCAGUAACAGAGCCAGCCCUCGGUAAUUGUGUGCAAACAGAGCCCAGCUUUCACCUCUUUGCCCUCUUGUCUCCGCCCCUCAUCAUCCAAAGCCCAAACACCUGAGGAAAGGUCACUGCUGGCUUGGAGUGGGAAGCAAACAGUGAGCUGGAGAUGGCUCUGGAGUUCAGCAGCUGCAGUUUCCUGCUUUGUGGGGGAGCGUGGGGCCAGCCCUGGGCACAGAGCUGCCCUGCAGGGAUCAGCCCCUGCUCUUCCAGCAGCUGGGCCAGCAGCAGCCAGAGGUGAGGAAACCUUGGCCCCGAGCAGGAGGAGCAGCUUGGUGCAGCACACUGCCAGGCUUUGGGGGCACCACGGUAAGCCUCGGACAGAAAGAGCUAAUGGUGCUGGUGGGGAGAGUAAAUCCUUGGUUAUUUAUCAUUUUCUGUGGUCGUAGCACUGACAAAAGCUUCUCAUUGCCAUGUGUGUGUUUUUGGGACUGCACAGGAGCUGCUGGCACUGCAGCUGGGGGUGCAUGCACCCCUCCUUUAAUGCAGCAUCAGUCUUCUGGGACACACAGGAGCUGCUGAGCCAAAGCAGCCAGAACACCUUUUUAUCCUUUUCAUCCAGAUUGUUCCGUGGCAAAUAUGGCUUCUGCUGGAAUAUGGCAGUGACCAUAAACUGUGUCCUGGGGUUACUUCAGGCUGUGUUUGCCCCUCAGUGCGGAGCAGGGCUCCUGCCCGAGCCCUGGUGAGGAUUCUCUGGUUGCAGUCAGUCGGGAGGCUGGGACAGCUCCCUUGGAAAGGCUCCUGUGAAUGAUGGCAGGGAGGGCCUGGGGCUGCCUUUUCCCACUCCUGAAGCCUUGAUCUGCUCUCUGCUUGGUUUGUUGGGUUUUUUCCCCCAAGCUUUUCUCUACAGAAAUGAAUAGUCAAUAUAGAAGAAAACGCUUUGUUACGUGGAAUGUAGUAUGAGCAAUAUUCUGUUUAAGCUAAUUUGGAAGGGUUUUGGUUUUCUUCCUUUUAAAUAAGUAAAGCUGGACUCAAAAGGCUUCAUUUGCAGUUCUUCAAAUUAAUUUUGCUGGUGGAAAUUAUAGAGGUGGAUGGUUAAAACUAAUAUUUUAUGGGGUUUUUUG